rnacentral:rRNA from 1 species
CUCCUUGUUUUCUGAUGAUAUGGGAGUUUUCUUAGAAGGGAUGUAUUUAUUAGAUAAAAGAUCAAUGCAGGGCUUGCUCGGGUGUUUUGGUGAAUCAUGAUAACUCGAUGAAUCGCACGGCUUUAGCGCUGGAGAUGUUUCAUUCAAAUUUCUGCCCUAUCAACUUUCGACGGUAGGAUAGAGGCCUACCGUGAUGGUAACGGGUGAUUGAGAAUUAGGGUUCACUUCCGGAGAGGAAGCCUGAGAAACGGCUAUCACAUCCAAGGAAGGCAGCAUGUGCCCAGAUUAUUCAAUCCCGACACCGGGAGGUAGUGACCAUAAAUAACAAUAUUGGGCUUUUACAAGUCUGGUAAUUGAAAUGAGUACAAUCUAAUGAGUAUUCAUUGGAGGGCAAGUCUGGUGCCAGCAGGCAUGUUAAUUCCAGCUCCAAUAGCGUAUAUUUAAGUUGUUGUAGUUAAAAAGCUCGUAGUUGGAUCUUGGGAGGGGGUCGGCGGUUUGCAUCUUUUGGUGUGCACUAGCGGCCCCUUUCUUUUUGGCCGGGAACGCACAUCUGGCCUUGAUUGGUCGGCCGCGGAGUCGGCGAUGUUACUUUGAAAAAAUUGGAGUGCUCAAAGCAAGCCAUACGCUCUGAAUACAUUAGCAUGGAAUGUCGCGACAAGAGUCUGGUCUUAUUGCGUUGAUCUUCGGGUUCGGGAGUAACGAUUAAUAGGGACAAUUGGGGGCAUUUGUAUUUCAUGGUCAGAGGUGAAAUUCUUGGAUUCAUGUAAGACAAACUUCUGCAAAAGCAUUUGCCAAUGAUGUUUUCAUUAAUCAAGAACGAAAGUUGGGGGCUCGAAGACGAUCAGAUACCGUCCUAGUCUCAACCAUAAACGAUGCCGAAUAAGGAUUGGCGGAUGUUAAUUUGAUGACUUCGCUGGCACCUCCAUGAAAAAUCAAUUUUUUUGGGUUCCGGGGGAAGUAUGGUCGCAAGGCUGAAACUUAAAGGAAUUGAAGGAAGUGCACCACCAAGAGUGGUGCUACGGCUUAAUGUGACUCAACAUAGGGAAACUUACCAAGUCUAGUCAUAGUAAGGAUUGACAGAUUGAGAGCUCUUUCUUGAUUCUAUGGGUGGUGGUGCAUGGCCAUUCUUAGUUGGUGGAGUGAUUUGUCUGGUUAAUUCCGUUAACGAACAAGACCUCAACCUGCUAACUACUUAGGUUGAUACUUGUUCCCAGUGAACAGUUUCUUAGAGGGACUAUAGGCGUAUAGCCGAUGGAAGUUUGAGGCAAUAACAGGUCUGUGAUGCCCUUAGAUGUUCUGGGCUGCACGCGCUACACUGAAUUUAUAAUCUGGGCCGAAAGGUUUGGAUAAUCUUUUGAAAAUUCAUCGUGAUGGGGAUAGAUCAUUGCAAUUAUCGAUGAUUUGUGAGUCUUCUUAGAUAGUCGCUCACUUCCUUUCAGAAACUAAGAUCUGUGUUGGCCAAAUAUUUGAUUAGUAGUGGUGCAAGGUUAAAUCUUGCCAAGUCUUCCAUCCUUUUACUGGGGAUGGAUAGUAC